rnacentral:lncRNA from 1 species
GAGCCGCCACCGUGCGUUAUUUAUCCCAAAAGAGGGAAAGGAAACGCUCAGAGUAAACCUGGGAAAGAACAUGGUCUCGCGACCAAAGAGAAUGGGUUCGGGAGUCGGUUAUGCGAAGGGAAGGUAUUAGCACCCCUACGCAUCCGUAGUACUCUACGGGAUCCACGCACAAUAGGAAGGAAAAUGGUUGCUAAACACUGCUCACACUCACACACACUGGCUGAAAAGAGACAAAAGAAACUGACUGAAAACUGACACUAACUCGGCAGGAUAUCGCAUCCUGGGCCUACUUAGUCUAUCAGGCAUAGACAUCAGAGUCGAAGUAGUUCGGACUGGGGAAACAACACAUGCUCGCUAGGAUAUCGCAUCCUAUGCAUACAUAUCUCCUCGGACGAGAGAAGAAUCAGAGCAUUCGUAGCUCGGCUGACACGCGCACAAACAAACACAGGCAAAGGCAAACGUGGAGCCCGAAUGCCAAUCACUGGACUUACAUCAGCAUCCGAACCAAAACACACACAAGAAGGCAAACAUGGAGCCUGAAUGCCAAUUGCUGGACUUACAUCAGCAUCCGGGUCAAAACGCACGCACACUGGAACCCAAAUGCCACUCGAGGGACUUAUAUCAGCUUCCAAGCACACAACAACAUAACAAGUUAAUAGGGAGUCGGGGACUCGAGCCUAUAACUGUCAAGCACACACUCAAACAGACAGACAACAAAUUGCUAAGGAGUCAGGCACUCGAGCCUAGCAACUGUCAAACAACACACACAAAAAGAAAAAAGGGCGCCCGGAGAGAUCAG